rnacentral:lncRNA from 10 species
GAGAUCAUCUCAUACUGAAAAUUAGUCCUGAGGAGGAUUACAGAAAACUUAAGAGUGGGGAAUGGUCUGUUUUCUUUAUCCAUGUGGCCCUCCACCCAGUUUGUUAGUCUUGUGUAACCUUUUGUCCAAGUGGUUGCUGCUUUUUCCUUCCUUUUUUUUUUUUUUUUGAGACGGAGUCUCAAUGUCACCCGGGCUGGAGUACAGUGGCGCGAUCUCAGCUCACUGCAACUUCUGCCUCCCGGGUUGAAGCGAUUCUCCUGCCUCAGCCUCCUGAGUAGCUGGAAUUACAGACUCAUGCCACCACACCCAGCUAAUUUUUGCAUUUUUAGUAGACCACCAUGUCGGCCAGGCUGGUCUCGAACUCCUGACCUCGUGAUCCACCUGCCUCGGCCUCCCAAAGUCCUGGGAUUACAGGCAUGAGCCACCACGCCAAGCCUGUGGUUGCUGCUUGUCUUACAUGGCUUGGACAGCUUUGUUUGCACUGUUGUUGGGGUCAGGGACAGUGAUUAAGAUAAAUUUCUAAUUGCAGUCUAUACGAGAUACUCCAGCCAAAAAUGCACAAAAGUCAAAUCAGAAUGGAAAAGACUCAAAACCAUCAUCAACACCAAGAUCAAAAGUAAGUGGCUACAUUUACACGUGGGUCUCAUUGAUCUAGUUGGGGAAAAAGAUUCUACUGUGGAAGAAUCUAGUGUGUCUGAAAUUUGAUAGGCCUUUAUAGAACCCCUGUAAUUGCUGUUUAAAAGUUAAAAUCAGCUUGCUGCAGCCAGGCUCAGUGGCUCACUCCUGUAAUCCCAGCACUUUGGGAGGGAGGCCAAGGUGGGUGGGAUCACCUGAGGUCAGGAGUUUGAGACUAGCCCGGCCAACAUCGUGAAACCCUGUCUUUACUAAAAACACAAAAAUUAGCCAGGCAUGGUGGUAUGUGCCUGUAAUUCCACCUACUCAGGAGGUGGAGACAGGAGAAUUGCUUGAACCUGGGAGGUGGAGUGCAGUGAGAUUGCACCACUGCACUCCAGCUUGGGCAAAAGAGCGAGACUCCGCCUC